AUAUUCAAUGAUACUUCAAAGAAAAUCCACUCCACCCUAGUGCCAUUUAAGCUAACUGCAGGUCAAAUUAGAGAGAAUAGUUUUGGCUUUUUUUGAGGGCAACCAUGAGUGAACAGAAUGGUCAUCAUGAAAUCGAAGGAACGUUGCACAAUUUUCUUUAGGUUGAUGGAAUGAAUCUAGUGAAAGGAGAAUUGUAACCAGAAAAUUCUACAGAAACUCCAGAUAACCAGUCAUACCUCCAAGGAAAUUCUCUCCACCAUCGUACCAUUUAAGCUAACUGCAGGUCAAAUUAGAGAGAAUAGUUUUGGCUUUUUUUGAGGGCAACCAUGAGUGAACAGAAUGGUCAUCAUGAAAUCGAAGGAACGUUGCACAAGUUGAUGGAAUGAAUCUAGUGAAAGGAGAAUUGUAACCAGAAAAUUCUACAGAAACUCCAGAUAACCAGUCAUACCUCCAAGGAAAUUCUCUCCACCAUCGUACCAUUUAAGCUAACUGCAGGUCAAAUUAGAGAGAAUAGUUUUGGCUUUUUUUUGAGGGCAACCAUGAGUGAACAGAAUGGUCAUCAUGAAAUCGAAGGAACGUUGCACAAGUUGAUGGAAUGAAUCUAGUGAAAGGAGAAUUGUAACCAGAAAAUUCUACAGAAACUCCAGAUAACCAGUCAUACCUCCAAGGAAAUCCACUCCACCAUCGUACCAUUGUAACAGCAAAAUGUAAUGCAGUUCAAAGUAAAGGAAAGAGUAGUUUUUGCUUGUCUUGAAGGUAGCCAUGAGUAAACAGGAUUGUCAGAAUUUAAGAAAACACAGAUAAAUGAACUCGGUCCAGUUAAAGGAAAUUCUGAUGAGAAUUCAAGAAACUUCAAAGCAUUAAAGUAAAAGAUAAUAUACAGAGGUUUAAUGUAAAUUAUUUUAAAAAUAUCUUCAAUUGCUGGAGGAAACAUCUUUGCAAGUGAAAGGUUAAAACUAAAUUCAACCAAAGGAAGUAAUUGCAUUAUGACAUUGGAAUAAAGAAGAGGAAGAUUAAACCACAGAGUUGGGGAGUAUGUAGCAUUCCAGGUCAGAAGAGGAAGUUCAAUUGCAUGAAAAAAACAAAAAGGCAAGUCACUUGCACAUGAGCUUAGAUGGUUGUAGUAUACCACUGAAGCAGGAAACCCAUCUAGAGUUUGCAGUGAUAACCACUGGUACUAGGAAAAAAUCUUUACCUUUGGGCCAGUAAAACGACUAGUGCAGUCCAAAUGGAUCCCUUCAAAAUUUAUUGACUAUUGUAAAAAUCAACAAAGGAGUUAAUGCAGGGGAAUCCAGUUAAGGUGAAUGACAGUGAAUAGCGAAAUUAAGCACUCCAGUUCAGCGGUAAUUCGAAAUGAUCCCGUGGAUAAGUGGCAAUGUACAUAAAGGCCUUAUUAUUGUAAAAUUUUGAGCAUUUUGCUAUACAAAAGUUCUUCAGACUGAUAAUUUGGUGAACGAGAAAUGUACGAAAAUAAAUUUUUCCCAUGACCAACCUUUAAA